UCCGGUUUGACACCGGCAGUCUCCCUAGAGUGCCCGGCUUUACCCGCUGGUAACUAGGGACAAGGGUUGCGCUCGUUGCGGGACUUAACCCAACAUCUCACGACACGAGCUGACGACAGCCAUGCAGCACCUGUGCACGAUCUCCGAAGAGGGGCUCUCGUUUCUGAGAGCUUGCUCGUGCAUGUCAAGCCUAGGUAAGGUGGGGAUGACGUAACACAGACUAUAC
rnacentral:misc_RNA from 1 species